UUUUCUUUACUGUUCUUGCUGCAAUUACUUGAGGCUUCCAUUCCAUCCUUAUUUCCUGAUCCAUGCCCUAGACUUCCACCAGUGGCCCCAAAAACUGCCUCCGUCCUUGACAAAAAACUAUCAUGGACAGCCUUCUUAUGGUCAAAUGGUUGGUGCAAGUUUUGAUAUGAUCCUUCAUGCACAUAACUGGAAGUGUCUGAAGUGCCUCCAUCUUUGUUUCUUUUGCAGGAUUCUUUCUCAUGAUUAUUUUUGUGAAGACUGCUAGCUAUAAUAUCUUCUGCCAUGUUUGGUAUGCUCUUAUCCUUAGACCUGUACUUUCUUUUUCUCUUUGGUGUAGAUAAAUCAUCACAUGAGCCAGUGACGAUGCAUAGAUCUACUUCUGUCUCAGCAGGUUCCUUGUUUUGAUUCUCAUAUGAACAUCUGUCAACUUCGGGUUCUUUCCUCCCGUGAUAGUUUUUCUUGGAGGCUUUCGAAAUUCUCAAAAUUUCAUUAUCUUUUCCUUCAAGUGCGAUCUCAAGUUCUUGGACCCUGGCCUG
rnacentral:lncRNA from 1 species